rnacentral:rRNA from 1 species
GACAGAGGGUGCAAACGUGUUCGGAAUUACUGGGCGUAAAGCGCGUGUAGGCGGCUAAGUAAGUCGGGCGUGAAAUCCCACGGCUCAACCGUGGAAGUGCACUCGAAACUGCAUAGCUAGAGUCCUGGAGAGGAAGGUGGAAUGCUUGGUGUAGAGGUGAAAUUCGUAGAUAUCAAGCGGAACACCGGUGGCGAAGGCGGCCUUCUGGACAGUGACUGACGCUGAGACGCGAAAGCGUGGGGAGCAAACAGG